GAUGAACGCUGGCGGCGUGCCUAAUACAUGCAAGUCGAGCGAACAGACGAGGAGCUUGCUCCUCUGACGUUAGCGGCGGACGGGUGAGUAACACGUGGAUAACUUACCUAUAAGACUGGGAUAACUUCGGGAAACCGGAGCUAAUACCGGAUAAUAUAUUGAACCGCAUGGUUCAAUAGAGAAAGACGGUUUUGCUGUCACUUAUAGAUGGAUCCGCGCCGCAUUAGCUAGUUGGUAAGGUAACGGCUUACCAAGGCAACGAUGCGUAGCCGACCUGAGAGGGUGAUCGGCCACACUGGAACUGAGACACGGUCCAGACUCCUACGGGAGGCAGCAGUAGGGAAUCUUCCGCAAUGGGCGAAAGCCUGACGGAGCAACGCCGCGUGAGUGAUGAAGGUCUUCGGAUCGUAAAACUCUGUUAUUAGGGAAGAACAAAUGUGUAAGUAACUAUGCACGUCUUGACGGUACCUAAUCAGAAAGCCACGGCUAACUACGUG
rnacentral:rRNA from 1 species